rnacentral:SRP_RNA from 1 species
CACUAUUGGGACCAGGCGCAAGAUC